rnacentral:lncRNA from 1 species
CUCCUUCCGGCCUUCAUCUUUCCAGACCAAGAGGGUUUAUGCGGCCUUUCUGCAGCAAGCUCCCCUUCUUCUUGACCAUUUUAGACAAACGUCUGGCAAGUGGACCCUUCCAUACUUCCUGAAAGUUCUAUAACUGAAAAUCUCCCCUCCACCCCAGCCACAGAUUCUGAACUGGCAGAUUUAAUUGGCAAGGUGCUAACGGAAGCUCUCAGCUGCACACCUCCCUUGUGGGGGUCCUCUAAGACUCAUUACUGACAAGAGCCACACAAAGGAAGCUGAUUGAAGCUGAACCCUGUGCUCCGGGCAAGUCAGGUGGAAGGAUGUCUGGAGAACAUAGUGGAGUGAAAAUCGCCGUCCACAAACUAUUGCCAAGUAAGUAAAAUAGCCAUUUAUUUUUGUGUGUGGUGGUGGGAGGGGGUGAUUGUUAGUUUGCAAGGGGGGAAAAAAGAAUAUUAAUAGUUUAAAAUUUGUUUCAGUCAAAAGAGAGUUUUAAAAGUAGAAUUAUGACCC